rnacentral:pre_miRNA from 1 species
AAUGUUUUCCCAAUUCAAGUUGGGGACGGUUCUUGACUUGAAUUCAAAAAUCUGGAAUUCAAGUCAAGAACCGUCCCCAACUUGAAUUGGCAA